CGAAAAACGGAAGCUGGUCUUAUCUUUUGACGACCCAAAUAUCAGAUGGAGUCGAUUCAAGCACCACAUGCUGGAAAUACUGCACCAUAGUGACAUAAGGGGCAUCGCAUUCAGGAAACCUAAUGAUUCCAUAUACACCUUCCCAAUGCCUGAUUGCAUGUGCCAACAAGAUGGUUUAUGAUCUAGGCGUUAGCAUACAUAACUGAGGGAUGCAUAUCCUCUGCCUUUGUGCAACAAAGGCACCAAAGGCACGGCAUUGUUGACUGCAUGAUCAGGAUUUGAUGGUCAUGAUGAAAACUGGAGUGAAGUAAAGCAUUUGGUGCUUCUCAGGAGAUUCUGAAACCCUAUGGCAUACCCCAAACCGUUCGAUUCUGGAUAUAAUGGUCAAAAGGUGCCUAAUGACAAUGAAUUCCAUAGGAUCAGAAAUUGAGAGGAUGCGAGGGAUUUUGUAAAGUUAGUAAUCUGUAGGUAGUCCACCUUAUAGCAAUCUCCAUUUGUUCAAUCUGUCUGUAGGUUGUAAAGUGAAAAGAGCUACGAGAUUGGGUUGUAGAUAUGAGUACAACCUGAGUGCCUCAAUGUAUAUUCGAAAAACAAGGGCUAACAACAACAAAGAAAGGAAAUUUUCAGUA